AGUCGUAACAAGGUUUCCGUAGGUGAACCUGCGGAAGGAUUAAUUACAGAGUUCAUGCCCUUACGGGUAGAUCUCCCACCCUUGAAUAUUAUACCUUCGUUGCUUUGGCAGGCCGUGGAAACACCACGGGCUUCGGCGUGUGCGUGCCUGCCAGGGGAAACAAACUCUGUUUUUAGUGAUGUCUGAGUACUAUAUAAUAGUUAAAACUUUCAACAACGGAUCUCUUGGUUCUGGCAUCGAUGAAGAACGCAGCGAAAUGCGAUAAGUAAUGUGAAUUGCAGAAUUCAGUGAAUCAUCGAAUCUUUGAACGCACAUUGCGCCCCGUGGUAUUCCGCGGGGCAUGCCUGUUCGAGCGUCAUUUCAACCCAUCAAGCUCUGGCUUGGUCUUGGGGCCUGCGGUUCCGCAGCCUCUAAACUCAGUGGCGGUGCUAUUGAGCUCUGAGCGUAGUAAUUCUUCUCGCUAUAGGGUCUCGGUGGUGGCUUGCCAACAACCCCCAAUUUUUAUCAGGUUGACCUCGGAUCAGGUAGGGAUACCCGCUGAACUUAAGCAUAUCAAUAAGCGGAGGAAAAGAAC
rnacentral:rRNA from 1 species